rnacentral:rRNA from 1 species
GUGGGGAAUUUUGGACAAUGGGCGCAAGCCUGAUCCAGCAAUGCCGCGUGCAGGAAGAAGGCCUUCGGGUUGUAAACUGCUUUUGUACGGAACGAAACGGUCCUGGCUAAUAUCCGGGGCUAAUGACGGUACCGUAAGAAUAAGCACCGGCUAACUACGUGCCAGCAGCCGCGGUAAUACGUAGGGUGCGAGCGUUAAUCGGAAUUACUGGGCGUAAAGCGUGCACAGGCGGUGCUGUAAGACAGGCGUGAAAUCCCCGGGCUCAACCUGGGAAUUGCGCUUGUGACUGCAGUGCUGGAGUGCGGCAGAGGGGGAUGGAAUUCCGCGUGUAGCAGUGAAAUGCGUAGAUAUGCGGAGGAACACCGAUGGCGAAGGCAAUCCCCUGGGCCUGCACUGACGCUCAUGCACGAAAGCGUGGGGAGCAAACAGGAUUAGAAACCCGAGUAGUCC